AUGGCCAUGGUGGAGGAGGCCAUUGGUUCACUCAAGGCGCACGAGCAGCUCAUCAAGGGGUGGGAGAUGGCACGUGAAGAAGAGCAGCUCCUAAUGGCGAGAGGGCAUGACUCAUCGCGAGGACGCGGUCGUGGUGGCCGUGGACAUGGCCGUGGUGGAGGGCGCAGAGACAAGAGCGAGGUACAGUGCUAUAACUGUGAUGACUUUGGACAUUUUGCUUGGGAGUGUCCAGAGAAGAAGAAGGAGAACGAGGAGAAGGGACUGCUGGCCGGCUAUGGCAGCGAUGGACCGGCUCUUCUUUGA
rnacentral:rRNA from 1 species